AAUAAGGACCGGCUAACUCCGUGCCAGCAGCCGCGGUAAUACGGAGGGUCCGAGCGUUAUCCGGAAUCAUUGGGUUUAAAGGGUCCGCAGGCGGCCACAUAAGUCAGUGGUGAAAUUCCGUGGCUCAACCACGGAACUGCCAUUGAUACUGUUUGGCUUGAAUCACUUCGAGGAUGCCGGAAUGUGUGGUGUAGCGGUGAAAUGCAUAUGAUAUCACGCAGAACACCGAUUGCGAACGCAGGUGUCCAGAACUGUAUUGACGCUGAUGGACGAAAGCGUGGGUAUCGAACACGAUUACGAUACCCUGGUAGUCCACGCCGUAAACGAUGGUCACUAUCUGUCCGGACUUAGGUCUGGGUGGCCAAGCGAAAGUGAUAAGUGACCCACCUGGGGAGUACGUUCG
rnacentral:rRNA from 1 species